UGGCGGCGUGCCUAACACAUGCAAGUCGAGCGGGGUGCAGCAAUGCACCUAGCGGCGGACGGGUGAGUAACACGUGGGUAACCUGCCCUAUACAGAGGGAUAGCCAUCCGAAAGGAUGAUUAAUACCUCAUAACUCACCACCACGGCAUCGUGGUGGUGGCAAAGGAGUAACAUCCGGUAUAGGAUGGACCCGCGGCCCAUUAGCUAGUUGGUGAGAUAACAGCCCACCAAGGCAACGAUGGGUAGCCGAUCUGAGAGGAUGACCGGCCACAUUGGAACUGAGAAACGGUCCAGACUCCUACGGGAGGCAGCAGUGGGGAAUAUUACGCAAUGGGGGAAACCCUGACGCAGCAACGCCGCGUGAGUGAUGAAGGCCUUCGGGUCGUAAAGCUCUGUCUUCGCUGACGAUAAUGACGGUAAGCGAGGAGGAAGCCACGGCUAACUACGUACCAGCAGCCGCGGUAAUACGUAGGUGGCGAGCGUUGUCCGGAAUUACUGGGCGUAAAGGGUGCGUAGGCGGACUAUUAAGUCAGAUGUGAAAUUCCAGGGCUUAACCUUGGAACUGCAUUUGAAACUGGUAGUCUAGAGUGCAGGAGAGGAAAGCGGAAUUCCUAGUGUAGCGGUGAAAUGCGUAGAUAUUAGGAAGAACACCAGUGGCGAAGGCGGCUUUCUGGACUGUAACUGACGCUGAGGCACGAAAGCGUGGGGAGCAAACAGGAUUAGAUACCCUGGUAGUCCACGCUGUAAACGAUGAGUGCUAGGUGUAGGGGGUGUCAUGCCUUCUGUGCCGCAGUAAACGCAAUAAGCACUCCGCCUGGGGAGUACGGUCGCAAGACUAAAACUCAAAGGAAUUGACGGGGGCCCGCACAAGCAGCGGAGCAUGUGGUUUAAUUCGAAGCAACGCGAAGAACCUUACCAGGACUUGACAUCUACCUAAUACUGCAGAGAUGCGGUAGUGCCUUUCGGGAAAGGUAAGACAGGUGGUGCAUGGUUGUCGUC
rnacentral:rRNA from 1 species